CCCUUAGAUGUUCUGGGCCGCACGCGCGCUACACUGACGAAGUCAGCGAGCAUGUCCUACGCCGACAGGUGCGGGGAAUCUUGUCAAACUUCGUCGUGAUGGGGAUUGAUUAUUGAAAUUCUUGAUCAUCAACGAGGAAUUCCUAGUAAGCGCAAGUCAGCAGCUUGCGUUGAUUACGUCCCUGCCCUUUGUACACACCGCCCGUCGCUACUACCGAUUGAAUGGUUUAGUGAGAUCUUCGGAUUGGCGCCACUGCGGCUCAGCAAUGGGCUCGGUGGAUGCCGAAAAGUUGAUCAAACCUGAUCAUUUAGAGGAAGUAAAAGUCGUAACA
rnacentral:rRNA from 1 species